UACGAAGGGGCUAGCGUUGUUCGGAAUUACUGGGCGUAAGCGCACGUAGGCGGAUACUUAAGUCAGGGGUGAAAUCCCGGGGCUCAACCCGGAACUGCCUUUGAUACUGGGUAUCUCGAGUCCGGAAGAGGUGAGUGGAAUUCCGAGUGUAGAGGUGAAAUUCGUAGAUAUUCGGAGGAACACCAGUGGCGAAGGCGGCUCACUGGUCCGGUACUGACGCUGAGGUGCGAAACGUGGGACAACAGG
rnacentral:rRNA from 1 species